rnacentral:rRNA from 1 species
CCUACGGGAGGCAGCAGUGAGGAAUAUUGGUCAAUGGCCGCAAGGCUGAACCAGCCAAGUCGCGUGAGGGAUGACGGCCCUAUGGGUUGUAAACUUCUUUUGUCAGGGAGUAAAGUGCACCACGUGUGCUGCUUUGCGAGUACCUUAUGAAUAAGGAUCGGCUAACUCCGUGCCAGCAGCCGCGGUAAUACGGAGGAUCCGAGCGUUAUCCGGAUUUAUUGGGUUUAAAGGGUGCGUAGGCGGCAUGUUAAGUCAGUGGUGAAAGUUUGGGGCUCAAACCUGGACUUGCCGUUGAUACUGGCGUUCUUGAGUGCAGUAGAGGUAGGCGGAAUGCGUGGUGUAGCGGUGAAAUGCUUAGAUAUCACGCAGAACUCCGAUUGCGAAGGCAGCAUACCG